rnacentral:rRNA from 1 species
AGGAUUCCCCUAGUAGCUGCGAGCGAACAGGGAAAAGCCCAGCACCGAAUCCCGCGGCCGAUACCGGACGCCGGGAAAUGUGGUGUUAGGGAGGAUUCAUUAUCACGAGAUUUAGUUUUGCGUUAAAGUCCUUCUUGAACGGGGCCACAGCCCAUAGAGGGUGCCAGGCCCGUAGUGACCAGAACUAAUCGCGUGAGAAUCUCUCCUUAGAGUCGGGUUGCUUGAGAGUGCAGCCCUAAGUGGGUGGUAAACUCCAUCUAAGGCUAAAUAUAACCACGAGACCGAUAGCGAACAAGUACCGUGAGGGAAAGUUGAAAAGCACUUUGAAGAGAGAGUUCAAGAGUACGUGAAACCGUUCAGGGGUAAACCUGAGAAACCCGAAAGGUCGAAAGGGGAAAUUCAUUCGUAUCUCGAUGAUGGCAUUGGGUGUUGGUUUGACAAUUAUUAUCAUGUAUAGUAGUUGCAUCCUUCAUUUAAUGAACCAACAUCGAAUGCGUGCACUUUUCCCCAAGUAGGACGCCGCGAUCCGUUGGGUGUCGGUCUAAGGCCCAUGGUGGAGCCCAUUUGGUUGGCAUUUAUUGUCAUUAUCGAAUGGACCCGUGGUGUUUCCCGGCCGACUUGCUUGACGGUAUACAGAUGGCGCAGAGCCGCGACUUUAGUUCGCGUUCGGCCCAUGGCAAGCACGUCUUGAUGUGUUGGCGAUCGGACCUAGUGCCGUUCCUGACCCCUGACGACUGUUGGCUAUGGUGUUCUCGAACAGACUCUGUAAUAUGUAACGCCGAUCUGCGGCGCUAUAGCUUUGGGUACUUUCAGGACCCGUCUUGAAACACGGACCAAGGAGUCUAGCAUGUGCGCGAGUCAUUGGGACAUAACUAAACCUAAAGGCGUAAUGAAAGUAAAUGUUUGUCUUGCACAAACUUAGGGAAGAUGAGUGGUUUGCCCAUAAAGUGGCCACUCCGCACUCCCGGGGCGUCUCAAUCUUAUUACAAGAUGAGGCGCACCAAGAGCGUACACGCUGGGACCCGAAAGAUGGUGAACUAUGCCUGGUCAGGACGAAGUCAGGGGAAACCCUGAUGGAGGUCCGUAGCGAUUCUGACGUGCAAAUCGAUCGUCGGAACUGGGUAUAGGGGCGAAAGACUAAUCGAACCAUCUAGUAGCUGGUUCCCUCCGAAGUUUCCCUCAGGAUAGCUGGCGCUCAUUGCGUACGAGUCUCAUCCGGUAAAGCGAAUGAUUAGAGGCAUUGGGGUCGAAACGACCUCAACCUAUUCUCAAACUUUAAAUGGGUGAGAUCUCCGGCUUGCUUAAAUUGCUGAAGCCGUGAGAUUUCGGAUCAGAGUGCCAAGUGGGCCAUUUUUGGUAAGCAGAACUGGCGCUGUGGGAUGAACCAAACGCUGAGUUAAAGCGCCUAAAUCGACGCUUAUGGGAUACCAUGAAAGGCGUUGGUAACUUAAGACAGCAGGACGGUGGCCAUGGAAGUCGGAAUCCGCCAAGGAGUGUGUAACAACUCACCUGCCGAAGUUACUAGCCCUGAAAAUGGAUGGCGCUGAAGCGUCGUGCUUAUACUCAGCCGUCAGUGGCAUGUGCGGUUCAUUUUAAAUGAGCCAUGAAGCUCUGACGAGUAGGAGGGUCGCGGCGGUGAGCGCUGAAGGGCUGGCCGUAGGGCCGUCUGGAGCCGCCGUCGGUGCAGAUCUUGGUGGUAGUAGCAAAUACUCCAGCGAGGCCCUGGAGGACUGACGUGGAGAAGGGUUUNGUGUGAWCAGYYGUUGCACACGAGUCAGUYGAUCYUAAKCCNUAGGCGAAARCCGAUGUUAAUGUGGKGUAUGUUUAUAAUAAAAUAAAUAGAAUUAUAUAUUUAAUUGAUAUAAAAUUGAAAUUUCCAUAAAGGAAAAAUAUAUAAAUGUCUAAUAAAAUUUUUGGAUUUGAGAAAUUGUACUUAUCCCACUUGUGUGUGGGUAAAAGUGUUUCUGCUUUUCCACUUAUUACAUGAAGGAUAUUUUAUUUUUCCGGAAAAUUUAAUUAUCAAUUAAUAUUUAAUAUAUUUCUUAUUGAAAUUUGAACACACCCAUUGGGCGAAAGGGAAUCCGGUUCCUAUUCCGGAACCCGGUAGCGGAACCGUUUAAAAGUCGGGCCCUCGCAAGAGAGUUCGUCGGGGUAACCCAAAAGGACCCGGAGACGCCGUCGGGAGAUCCGGAAAGAGUUUUCUUUUCUGUAUGAGCGUUCGAGUUCCAUGGAAUCCUCUAGCAGGGAGAUAUGGUUUGGAACGCGAAGAGCACCGCAGUUGCAGCGGUGUCCGGAUCUUCCCCUCGGACCUUGAAAAUCCGGGAGAGGGCCACGUGGAGGUGUCGCACCGGUUCGUACCC